GAGUUUGAUCCUGGCUCAGGACGAACGCUGGCGGCGUGCUUAAUGCAUGCAAGUCGAACGAGGUCCAGCCUCUCGCAAGAGAGGGGACGACCUAGUGGCGAACGGGUGUCUAACACGUGAGGAACCUGCCCCGGAGACCGGGAUAACUGGCCGAAAGGCCAGCUAAUACCGGAUGUGCUCACCGAGUCGCAUGGCUUGGUGAGGAAAUGGAUUCCGCUUCGGGAUGGCCUCGCGGCCUAUCAGCUUGUUGGUGGGGUAACGGCUCACCAAGGCGACGACGGGUAGCUGGUCUGAGAGGACGAUCAGCCACACUGGGACUGAGACACGGCCCAGACUCNUACGGGAGGCAGCAGCAGGGAAUAUUGCGCAAUGGGCGAAAGCCUGACGCAGCAACGCCGCGUGGGGGAUGAAGGCUCUUGGGUUGUAAACCCCUUUCAGCAGGGACGAUUGUGACGGUACCUGCAGAAGAA
rnacentral:rRNA from 1 species